rnacentral:rRNA from 1 species
AUUGAACGCUGGCGGCAGGCCUAACACAUGCAAGUCGAACGAGUGGCGGACGGGUGAGUAAUGUCUGGGAAACUGCCCGAUGGAGGGGGAUAACUACUGGAAACGGUAGCUAAUACCGCAUACCAUCAGAUGUGCCCAGCUGGGAUUAGCUAGUGGGUGGGGUAACGGCUCACCAAGGCGACGAUCCCUAGCUGGUCUGAGAGGAGGACCAGCCACCCUGGAACGUAGACACGGUGCAGACGCCUACGGGAGGCAGCAGUGGGGAAUAUUGCACAAUGGGCGCAAGCCUGAUGCAGCCAUGCCGCGUGUAUGAAGAAGGCCUUCGGGUUGUAAAGUACUUUCAGCGGGGAGGCGUUACCCGCAGAAGAAGCACCGGCUAACGCCGUGCCAGCAGCCGCGGUAAUUC